rnacentral:misc_RNA from 1 species
GGGGGGAUCCAAGAGUUGAAGAAUUCAAUUACCAAGUAAAGGCCCCUUCCAAAUACUAAAGAAAAUGUCUUGCUGCGGAGGAAACUGUGGCUGUGGCUCUGGAUGCAAGUGCGGCAGCGGCUGCGGCGGAUGUGGUAUGUACCCUGACAUCGUAGAGAACACCAGAACUGAGACCCUCAUUGCAGGAGUUGCACCUCCUAAGAAGUUCUAUGAGGGUUCUGAGAUGAACUUUGGUGCUGAGAGUGGGAAUGGCUGCAAGUGUGGAUCAAACUGCAGCUGUGAUCCAUGCAACUGCAAAUGAGAAAGCAGCAUGGAAAUGGACCCAGCAAAGCUGUACUCGAUGUUCUCAAUAAAUACCAAAAAAAUUAGGAAAAAAAAAAAAAGUUCGUUAAUGAAUAUGUAUAAUAGUGCUUGGCUUGCUGCUGUAAAUAAAACAGCCUUGGGUUAUCCAAAUCCUUGUAUUAGGAUUUCCUUCCAGCAGUUUCAUGGCUUGUUUUAUGUGUUGUGUCCUCUCUGCUUUGCUGGUCUUAACUUGUCUUCAGUGUACUUUUGGAAGGGGAACUUCAGUUAGUAUUGUGAUCAUUGAUUAAAACAUCUCCCUUCACUUAUGAUCUAAUUUUUCCCACUUUCUUUCUUUCUUUUUUUCUCUGUAGUCAUCAAUGCUGGAGUAGCAGGAUGUUGCACUGGUCUUGCUUUAAGUUUUC